GACGUAGGGCGCGAGCGUUGUCCGGAUUUAUUGGGCGUAAAGAGCUCGUAGGCGGCUUGUCGCGUCGACUGUGAAAUCCCGCGGCUCAACUGCGGGUCUGCAGUCGAUACGGGCAGGCUAGAGUUCGGUAGGGGAGACUGGAAUUCCUGGUGUAGCGGUGAAAUGCGCAGAUAUCUGGAGGAACACCGGUGGCGAAGGCGGCAUCCUGGACCAUUACUGACGCUGAGGAGCGAAAGCCAGGGGAGCAAACGGG
rnacentral:rRNA from 1 species